rnacentral:rRNA from 1 species
GAACGCUGGCGGCAUGCCUAACACAUGCAAGUCGAACGGCAGCACAGCAGAGCUUGCUCUGUGGGUGGCGAGUGGCGGACGGGUGAGUAAUGCAUCGGGACCUACCUGAACGUGGGGGAUAAUGUAGGGAAACUUACGCUAAUACCGCAUACGUCCUACGGGAGAAAGCGGGGGACCUUCGGGCCUCGCGCGGUCAGACGGACCGAUGUUCGAUUAGCUAGUUGGUAAGGUAAUGGCUUACCAAGGCGACGAUCGAUAGCUGGGCUGAGAGGAUGAUCAGCCACACUGGAACUGAGACACGGUCCAGACUCCUACGGGAGGCAGCAGUGGGGAAUUUUGCGCAAUGGGCGAAAGCCUGACGCAGCAACGCCGCGUGAGUGAUGAAGGCUUUCGGGUCGUAAAGCUCUGUCGAGGGGAAAGAAGUGUACGAGGGCUAAUAUCCUUUGUACUUGACGGUACCCCUAAAGGAAGCACCGGCUAACUCCGUGCCAGCAGCCGCGGUAAUACGGGGGGUGCAAGCGUUGUUCGGAAUUAUUGGGCGUAAAGCGCGUGUAGGCGGUCUGAUUAGUCUGAUGUGAAAGCCCCGGGCUCAACCCGGGAAGUGCAUUGGAAACUGUCAGACUUGAAUACGGGAGAGGGUAGUGGAAUUCCUAGUGUAGGAGUGAAAUCCGUAGAUAUUAGGAGGAACACCGGUGGCGAAGGCGGCUACCUGGACCGAUAUUGACGCUGAGACGCGAAAGCGUGGGUAGCAAACAGGAUUAGAUACCCUGGUAGUCCACGCCCUAAACGAUGCGAACUGGACGUUGGGAGCAAUUAGGCUCUCAGUGUCGAAGCUAACGCGUAAGUCGCCGCC